GAAAGAGUGAAGGUGCUGGUUAACUCUUGCAUAAGGGAUUUGGACAGUAUAGGGAUGAAAGAGUGAAGGUGCUGGUUAACUCUUGCAUAAGGGAUUUGGACAGUAUAGGGAUGAAAGAGUGAAGAUGCUGGUUAACUCUUGCAUAAGGGAUUUGGACAGUAUAGGGAUGAAAGAGUGAAGAUGCUGGUUAACUCUUGCAUAAGGGAUUUGGACAGUAUAGGGAUGAAAGAGUGAAGAUGCUGGUUAACUCUUGCAUAAGGGAUUUGGACAGUAUAGGGAUGAAAGAGUGAAGAUGCUGGUUAACUCUUGCAUAAGGGAUUUGGACAGUGCAGGGAUGAAAGAGUGAAGAUGCUGGUUAACUCUUGCAUAAGGGAUUUGGACAGUAUAGGGAUGAAAGAGUGAAGAUGCUGGUUAACUCUUGCAUAAGGGAUUUGGACAGUGCAGGGAUGAAAGAGUGAAGAUGCUGGUUAACUCUUGCAUAAGGGAUUUGGACAGUAUAGGGAUGAAAGAGUGAAGAUGCUGGUUAACUCUUGCAUAAGGGAUUUGGACAGUGCAGGGAUGAAAGA